rnacentral:siRNA from 1 species
ACGGCUGCGAAUAGGGUUUGAGC